rnacentral:rRNA from 1 species
AAAGCUGUGCUCGCGGACGGGUGAGUAACACGUGGGUAACCUGCCCAUAAGACUGGGAUAACUCCGGGAAACCGGGGCUAAUACCGGAUAACAUUUUGAACCGCAUGGUUCGAAAUUGAAAGGCGGCUUCGGCUGUCACUUAUGGAUGGACCCGCGUCGCAUUAGCUAGUUGGUGAGGUAACGGCUCACCAAGGCAACGAUGCGUAGCCGACCUGAGAGGGUGAUCGGCCACACUGGGACUGAGACACGGCCCAGACUCCUACGGGAGGCAGCAGUAGGGAAUCUUCCGCAAUGGACGAAAGUCUGACGGAGCAACGCCGCGUGAGUGAUGAAGGCUUUCGGGUCGUAAAACUCUGUUGUUAGGGAAGAACAAGUGCUAGUUGAAUAAGCUGGCACCUUGACGGUACCUAACCAGAAAGCCACGGCUAACUACGUGCCAGCAGCCGCGGUAAUACGUAGGUGGCAAGCGUUAUCCGGAAUUAUUGGGCGUAAAGCGCGCGCAGGUGGUUUCUUAAGUCUGAUGUGAAAGCCCACGGCUCAACCGUGGAGGGUCAUUGGAAACUGGGAGACUUGAGUGCACAAGAGGAAAGUGGAAUUCCAUGUGUAGCGGUGAAAUGCGUAGAGAUAUGGAGGAACACCACUGGCGAAGGCGACUUUCUGGUCUGUUACUGACACUGA